rnacentral:misc_RNA from 1 species
CUCCCCUCGAGCAGCGGUUCCCAGUCCUCCGGGGCUGGGGCCGCGGCCCGGUGUUGGGGUCCUGCGGCCUGGCCGCAGUCCCCGAAAUGAAGUGGCGGUCCCGCCGCGGCGCCCCCUGCGUAGUAGUCUACACCUCGCAUCGGGUCCCGGCGAAGGCCAGCCGUCGAACCUAACUUUUGAUG